rnacentral:rRNA from 1 species
CUGUAAGCCUGUGAAGGUGGCCUGUGAGGGUUGCUGGAGGUAUCAGAAGUGCGAAUGCUGACAUAAGUAACGAUAAAGCGGGUGAAAAGCCCGCUCGCCGGAAGACCAAGGGUUCCUGUCCAACGUUAAUCGGGGCAGGGUGAGUCGACCCCUAAGGCGAGGCCGAAAGGCGUAGUCGAUGGGAAACGGGUUAAUAUUCCCGUACUUGGUGUUACUGCGAAGGGGGGACGGAGAAGGCUAUGUUGGCCGGGCGACGGUUGUCCCGGUUUAAGCGUGUAGGUGUGUGUUCCAGGUAAAUCCGGUUCACUUUAACACUGAGGCGUGACGACGAGGCACUACGGUGCUGAAGCAACAAAUGCCCUGCUUCCAGGAAAAGCCUCUAAGCAUCAGGUAACACGAAAUCGUACCCCAAACCGACACAGGUGGUCAGGUAGAGAAUACCAAGGCGCUUGAGAGAACUCGGGUGAAGGAACUAGGCAAAAUGGUGCCGUAACUUCGGGAGAAGGCACGCUGACACGUAGGUGAAGUGAUUUACUCA